GGAAGCCAAAUAAUGAGCACGAUUAGAGAGAGAGGUUGUUUGGAGAACACAAACAAACCAGAGUUGGAAGGUAAGACGACUCGCAUCAAAGCAGGGAUGGUACAACUCCAGUCUUAACGUAGCAGAAGACAAAGGAGGGGGCACUCACCGCUCUCACAUGUCACUCCCCUCCAGCCGAUGUCACAUUCACAGGAGCCAUCCCCAUCGAUCCCACUGCUGCACUUCCCGUGGACGCAUGCACACACUGUGGGGAG